GUCCCAGUAGCUCAAUUGGAUAGAGCAUCCCCCUCCUAAGGGGAAGGUUGGCAGUUCGAACCUGCCCUGAGACA
rnacentral:tRNA from 1 species